AUGGUGACCUGUCUUGGUUUCAACACCUUAAACAGGAAACACUGGGAAAAUGCAUACUUCUCCAUUCUGUAUCAGACAUGUCUUAGAGGAAACCCAUUAUAUCUGAAUGACCAAAGAAAAGUAUGAGAAAAAUGAGAAAUCUGUGCCAGGCCAUUCACAAUGUUUUGCUGGUGCCCUGGGGCCCACAUGCAUUUCAAGAAAAAUAAAGUAUGUCGAACCUGCAGAAGCCUGAAGUAUGUCUGUCAGACCUGCCUCUUAGACCUGGAGCAUGGCCUGCCCACCUAGGUUUGUGAUGCUGCGUUGUCUUUAAAAGAGGACAUGCCAAAGUCAGAUGUCAGAGAAGAGAAGAGUACUACACGCAGAAUGUGGAGAGAGGGAUUUCUAACUCGAAUGGAAGACAGCCAGUUGGCCUGCUGGGGAAAGCCACAUCCACCAGUGACAUGCUAGACAAACUGGCCUGGACCAUACCCUAUUACCUAAAGAAUAAGCCCCACAUUUGCUCCUUCUGGGUGAAGGGAGAGGGUAAGAGAGGAGAGGAGUUUCGAUAGAGACAUGAGAAGCCUACAGGUCCACAUGAUUCCCUUGCUGAUCAGAUAUUAAAAACUGAUAUUAUAUAGUCAACGACCGUGUAGCAGAUAAGCUUCUAUAGUAGGCUUCAGCCACGCCUCAUCUGGAACUCCCAGAGGAUAAGACUAUCCCCACACUAGACACCGGUGAUCCGGGUGAUACCAUUACUGAGACAGAUCUUAAGAAAUAAUCUCUACCUAUUUAGAGAGAUCUGGACAAUCCCUGUUGUGCAGAGACAGCGGUGUGCUUUCAUCCAGGUUUCCACAGGGCAGGCUGCACAAGUGGCUGUAGAGAAGUCCUUUAAUAAGUUAAUCACCAAUGGCUGCAGACUAAGUGUAAAAUGGGGAAGAUCCCAGGCAGCCAGAGGAAAGGAAAAUGACAGAACCCCAGACCCGGGGAUCCAGCUAGAGCUGAUUCCAGUACUGCCGGGAGCUCUUCCUCCUUCUGCAGCAGCAGAUGCAUCUGCCAAUGACUUCAACCUACCUCCAAGUGCUCCUACAGCUGUGGUGAACAUUGCCUUGCCAUGUUCAACUGCUAUUGCCCUGUCCCCACCCCUGCUAUUGCUCUGCCCCUACCUCCAGGAUUUGAGACACACAUGUUCCACUCAAUAGGACCACCUUCCCCUUUCAAGAGGACUCCAGGAUCCAUCCACUGUCUUUCUCAGGACCCUCAGAGAUGGAGCUCAUGCCAGAAAACACAGCAGGCCCUAG
rnacentral:lncRNA from 1 species